AGAGUUUGAUCCUGGCUCAGGAUGAACGCUAGCGACAGGCUUAACACAUGCAAGUCGAGGGGCAGCACAGGUAGCAAUACCGGGUGGCGACCGGCGCACGGGUGAGUAACGCGUAUGCAACUUGCCUAUCAGAGGGGGAUAACCCGGCGAAAGUCGGACUAAUACCGCAUGAAGCAGGGAUCCCGCAUGGGAAUAUUUGCUAAAGAUUCAUCGCUGAUAGAUAGGCAUGCGUUCCAUUAGGCAGUUGGCGGGGUAACGGCCCACCAAACCGACGAUGGAUAGGGGUUCUGAGAGGAAGGUCCCCCACAUUGGUACUGAGACACGGACCAAACUCCUACGGGAGGCAGCAGUGAGGAAUAUUGGUCAAUGGGCGUAAGCCUGAACCAGCCAAGUCGCGUGAGGGAUGAAGGUUCUAUGGAUCGUAAACCUCUUUUAUAAGGGAAUAAAGUGCGGGACGUGUCCCGUUUUGUAUGUACCUUAUGAAUAAGGAUCGGCUAACUCCGUGCCAGCAGCCGCGGUAAUACGGAGGAUCCGAGCGUUAUCCGGAUUUAUUGGGUUUAAAGGGUGCGUAGGCGGCCUUUUAAGUCAGCGGUGAAAGUCUGUGGCUCAACCAUAGAAUUGCCGUUGAAACUGGGAGGCUUGAGUAUGUUUGAGGCAGGCGGAAUGCGUGGUGUAGCGGUGAAAUGCUUAGAUAUCACGCAGAACCCCGAUUGCGAAGGCAGCCUGCCAAGCCAUGACUGACGCUGAUGCACGAAAGCGUGGGGAUCAAACAGGAUUAGAUACCCUGGUAGUCCACGCAGUAAACGAUGAUCACUAGCUGUUUGCGAUACACAGUAAGCGGCACAGCGAAAGCGUUAAGUGAUCCACCUGGGGAGUACGCCGGCAACGGUGAAACUCAAAGGAAUUGACGGGGGCCCGCACAAGCGGAGGAACAUGUGGUUUAAUUCGAUGAUACGCGAGGAACCUUACCCGGGUUUGAACGCAUUCGGACCGAGGUGGAAACACCUUUUCUAGCAAUAGCCGUUUGCGAGGUGCUGCAUGGUUGUCGUCAGCUCGUGCCGUGAGGUGUCGGCUUAAGUGCCAUAACGAGCGCAACCCUUGCCACUAGUUACUAACAGGUAAAGCUGAGGACUCUGGUGGGACUGCCAGCGUAAGCUGCGAGGAAGGCGGGGAUGACGUCUAAUCAGCACGGCCCUUACAUCCGGGGCGACACACGUGUUACAAUGGCGUGGACAAAGGGAGGCCACCUGGCGACAGGGAGCGAAUCCCCAAACCACGUCUCAGUUCGGAUCGGAGUCUGCAACCCGACUCCGUGAAGCUGGAUUCGCUAGUAAUCGCGCAUCAGCCAUGGCGCGGUGAAUACGUUCCCGGGCCUUGUACACACCGCCCGUCAAGCCAUGGGAGCCGGGGGUACCUGAAGUCCGUAACCGCGAGGAUCGGCCUAGGGUAAAACUGGUGACUGGGGCUAAGUCGUAACAAGGUA
rnacentral:rRNA from 1 species